AACAAAAACAUGUCCUUUAGAAUAGAAUUUAAGGUUUAACCUGCCCACUGAUAGUUAUUAAAUGGCCGCAGUAUUAUGACUGUGCAAAGGUAGCAUAAUCAUUAGUUUUUUAAUUGAAAGCUUGUAUGAAUGGUUGGACGAGAUAUAAACUGUCUUUAAUUUAUAAUUAGAAUUUAAUUUUUAAGUUAAAAAGCUUAAAUAUUAUUAAAAGACGAGAAGACCCUAUAGAUCUUUAUAAAUAUUUAUAUUAAAUUUUUUAGGAUUUAUAAUUAUUUAAUUUAAUUAUUUAUUUUAUUGGGGUAAUAAAUAGAUUAAAUAAAUUCUUUUUUUUUUCUUACAUAUAUAAUUGGUUUUUUUGAUCCAAUAUGAUUGAUUAUAAGAUUAAGAUACCUUAGGGAUAACAGCGUAAUUUUUUUAGAGAGUUCUUAUCGAUAAAAAAGUUUGCGACCUCGAUGUUG
rnacentral:rRNA from 1 species